UUAAUUUAAUAGGGUGUUCAUGUAAGAUGUUAAUGAUGUUGGGUAUUAUGGUCUUGCAGCUAAGCUUCUAUGGAGGGGUGCUGAGUGUUGGAAUGAGUGUUUAAAGCUUUUGGGCGUUGCUGAAGCAGCAGAAGCAUCAAUGGAUUCUGACCAGUUAAGCUCUGGAAUUUCAGAUUUUGAUACUCACUUUCAAGGCCUCAUAGUUCAGAAAAGUGAUGAUGACGACUCUGAGAAUGAGUCGGCACUUGAAAUUCAGCCAUACUUGAUGGAAGAAAAAUUGUCGAAGCACUUGAUAAUCACUUGACUGCUAUCCAAAGGGACCAUGAACUCAGGUCCCAGAUAGAAGAAAGGAAAAUAAGAAGUGAUGCGGCUUAUGAAGGGGCCAAAAGAAAAGAGAAAGCUCUCCUGGAAGAAAAACUCCGCCAAGAAAAAGCCAAAGCAGAA